AACGCAAGUUGCGCCCGAAGCCAUUAGGCCGAGGGCACGCCUGCCUGGGUGUCACACAUCGUUUCCCCAACGCAAACAUGUAACAAUGUUGCUGCGCGGGGUGUAUGCUGACCUCCCGCGAGCACCCGCCUCGUGGUUGGUUGAAAUCUGGGUUCAUGGCCGACUUCGCCGUGAUAAAAUGGUGGAUGAGCCACGCUCGAGACCAAUCACGUGCGAGCCGGUCAGUUCUGGACCCAUCGACGACCCUUUGCGUGCACGCACGCUCCCAACGAGACCUCAGGUCAGGCGGGGCUACCCGCUGAGUUUAA
rnacentral:misc_RNA from 2 species